rnacentral:rRNA from 1 species
UACGUAGGGUGCGAGCGUUAAUCGGAAUUACUGGGCGUAAAGUGUGCGCAGGCGGCCGAGCAAGUCGAGUGUGAAAGCCCCGAGCUUAACUUGGGAACUGCGCUCGAAACUACUUGGCUGGAGUGUGGCAGAGGGAGGUGGAAUUCCACGUGUAGCGGUGAAAUGCGUAGAGAUGUGGAGGAACACCGAUGGCGAAGGCAGCCUUCUGGGCCAGCACUGACGCUCAUGCACGAAAGCGUGGGGAGCAAACAGG